rnacentral:rRNA from 1 species
AAUGUGUUUGGCUUAUAAGAUAGAGAAAAAGAAUAAGUUAGAGAAAUUUUUUAAUAGAGGUAUUGGUAAAAAGUUUGUUAUUAUUGGAAGUGAAAAAUAUUUAAAAAGAAAAAUAAGAAUUUAUUAGAGAAAGUUCUUUUUGUAUCAUGAUUUAUAGAGAUAAGAAAUGGUUUUUUGUGCCCGAAAAUUUUGGAGCUACUAUACCUAAGGUGUUUGUUUCAGAAAACAUUUAUAGGGUGUGGUAGGGGUUAUAUGCUUUAUCGAAAAAAUUGAUAGCUGGUUAAAGGAAAAAUGUAUUAAAGUACAGAGGUAAAAUAAAGAUUAAAGAGUUGAAAGUUUGUUUUUACUAUUGAGAUUUACUAGGCUAAGCUUGUAAAUGGAAGAAGAGGUACAAAAGAAAUAGAUAGGAUUUAUAUUGUCCAGUCAUAAAAAUUUAAUAAUAAAGUAAUCAAAAAAAAAGGUUUGUUCAGUAUCCUUUAGUUUACAUUAACGGGGUGUAGAAUUAUAAGUAUAAAAUUAGUAGUUGGAAAAUAAGAAGAAAGAAAAAUGGGAACCAUUUUUAAAAAAUUUUUGCUGAAGGUUUGUAAAAAAUUUAGUUUUAAGAGAGUGAGAAGAUAUUUUUUUAAAAGGAACUCGACAAAUGGAAUCUGUGCCUGUUUAACAAAAACAUCGCUUUUUGAACUAACAAAGAUAAAAAGUCGGGCCUGCCCGGUGAGCUAUAUUAAACGGCUGCGACGAGAGUCGUACAAAGGUAGCGCGAUAAUUUGUCUCUUAAUUGGAGAAUGGUAUGAAAGGUUUGUCGCAGAUUAAUUGUCUCUAAAAAAAACAAUGAAGUUUCCUUUCAAAUGAAAAGGUUUAAAUUUUUGUAAAAGACGAGAAGACCCUGUCGAGCUAAAUUAGGCAAUAGAUUCUUAGGUACAAAGUGCUGAAUCUUUAGUUAAAAAGUAGUUGGGGAGAGCUAAGCUUUAGAAAAUAGGUUUAAUAGUUAGACACAGAUCCUCUUUGAGAGAAAGUUGGCAAAAGCUACCGCAGGGAUAACAGCGUAAUUUUUCUUGAGAGAUCGUAUUGAGGGAAAAGUUUGCGACCUCGAUGUUGGAUUAGGAAAACUUCUUGGUGCAGCAGCUAAGAGUGGUAAGACUGUUCGUCUUUUAAAUUCUUACAUGAUCUGAGUUAAGACCGGCGUAAGCUAGGUUGGUUUCUAUCUUUAAUUGUUACUCCUAUUGUACGAAAGGAUCCAGGUGUUAGGUUAUAUACUUUUUUAGUUAAUAUUAUUAACUUAUAAAUAGAGAAGGAGUUAAAUUAUUUAACGGGUUAAGGGC